rnacentral:lncRNA from 1 species
CACUUAUCAAUAAAAUUUUAUUUGUAUCCAUACACGAAAAUAGAAAAUACAUAUAUUUGUAAUUUUGAGGUUGUAAUGAUUAUUGUAAUAUUACACUUCAUGAUAUCCAACUCUCCAGUUUCAAUUUAAAAACAUACUUGAUUUACUUUAAUUUAAUAUAUAUGACUUUGAUGUUAUUAAUUCUAUUUAUAUUCCCUAAAAAAUUAUAUUCGACCUCAUGACAGACCAAUUCAAGUUUCAACGUAUAUAAUACUUUAAUUGGGUUAAAAUAAAAAUCACCCUUAAGAUAAGAAUGUAGAACUAAUCUAUACCAUUAAUCAAUAAUACUUUAAUGG